AACGAACGCUGGCGGCAGGCUUAACACAUGCAAGUCGAGCGCCCCGCAAGGGGAGCGGCAGACGGGUGAGUAACGCGUGGGAAUCUACCCAUCUCUACGGAAUAACGCAUGGAAACGUGUGCUAAUACCGUAUAAGUCCUUCGGGAGAAAGAUUUAUCGGGUAUGGAGGGGCCCGCGUUGGAUUAGCUAGUUGGUGGGGUAAAGGCCUACCAAGGCGACGAUCCAGAGCUGGUCUGAGAGGAUGAUCAGCCACACUGGGACUGAGACACGGCCCAGACUCCUACGGGAGGCAGCAGUGGGGAAUAUUGGACAAUGGGCGCAAGCCUGAUCCAGCCAUGCCGCGUGAGUGAUGAAGGCCCUAGGGUUGUAAAGCUCUUUCACCGGUGAAGAUAAUGACGGUAACCGGAGAAGAAGCCCCGGCUAACUUCGUGCCAGCCGCCGCAGUAACAC
rnacentral:rRNA from 1 species